GCAGUCGAGCGAAUGGAUUGAGAGCUUGCUCUCAAGAAGUUAGCGGCGGACGGGUGAGUAACACGUGGGUAACCUGCCCAUAAGACUGGGAUAACUCCGGGAAACCGGGGCUAAUACCGGAUAAUAUUUUGAACUGCAUGGUUCGAAAUUGAAAGGCGGCUUCGGCUGUCACUUAUGGAUGGACCCGCGUCGCAUUAGCUAGUUGGUGAGGUAACGGCUCACCAAGGCAACGAUGCGUAGCCGACCUGAGAGGGUGAUCGGCCACACUGGGACUGAGACACGGCCCAGACUCCUACGGGAGGCAGCAGUAGGGAAUCUUCCGCAAUGGACGAAAGUCUGACGGAGCAACGCCGCGUGAGUGAUGAAGGCUUUCGGGUCGUAAAACUCUGUUGUUAGGGAAGAACAAGUGCUAGUUGAAUAAGCUGGCACCUUGACGGUACCUAACCAGAAAGCCACGGCUAACUACGUGCCAGCAGCCGCGGUAAUACGUAGGUGGCAAGCGUUAUCCGGAAUUAUUGGGCGUAAAGCGCGCGCAGGUGGUUUCUUAAGUCUGAUGUGAAAGCCCACGGCUCAACCGUGGAGGGUCAUUGGAAACUGGGAGACUUGAGUGCAGAAGAGGAAAGUGGAAUUCCAUGUGUAGCGGUGAAAUGCGUAGAGAUAUGG
rnacentral:rRNA from 1 species